GAACGCUAGCUACAGGCUUAACACAUGCAAGUCGCCUUGCAGCAUCAUCAAAGCUUGCUUUGAUGGAUGGCGACCGGCGCACGGGUGAGUAACACGUAUCCAACCUGCCGACAACACUGGGAUAGCCUUUCGAAAGAAAGAUUAAUACCGGAUGGCAUAGUUUUCCCGCAUGGGAUAAUUAUUAAAGAAUUUCGGUUGUCGAUGGGGAUGCGUUCCAUUAGGCAGUUGGCGGGGUAACGGCCCACCAAACCUACGAUGGAUAGGGGUUCUGAGAGGAAGGUCCCCCACAUUGGAACUGAGACACGGUCCAAACUCCUACGGGAGGCAGCAGUGAGGAAUAUUGGUCAAUGGACGAGAGUCUGAACCAGCCAAGUAGCGUGAAGGAUGACUGCCCUACGGGUUGUAAACUUCUUUUAUACGGGAAUAAAGUGAGCCACGUGUGGCUUUUUGUAUGUACCGUAUGAAUAAGGAUCGGCUAACUCCGUGCCAGCAGCCGCGGUAAUACGGAGGAUUCGAGCGUUAUCCGGAUUUAUUGGGUUUAAAGGGAGCGUAGGCGGGUUGUUAAGUCAGUUGUGAAAGUUUGCGGCUCAACCGUAAAAUUGCAGUUGAUACUGGCGACCUUGAGUGCAACAGAGGUAGGCGGAAUUCGUGGUGUAGCGGUGAAAUGCUUAGAUAUCACGAAGAACUCCGAUUGCGAAGGCAGCUUACUGGAUUGUAACUGACGCUGAUGCUCGAAAGUGUGGGUAUCAAACAGGAUUAGAUACCCUGGUAGUCCACACAGUAAACGAUGAAUACUCGCUGUUGGCGAUAUACAGUCAGCGGCCAAGCGAAAGCAUUAAGUAUUCCACCUGGGGAGUACGCCGGCAACGGUGAAACUCAAAGGAAUUGACGGGGGCCCGCACAAGCGGAGGAACAUGUGGUUUAAUUCGAUGAUACGCGAGGAACCUUACCCGGGCUUAAAUUGCAACUGACGGAACCGGAAACGGUUCUUUCUUCGGACAGUUGUGAAGGUGCUGCAUGGUUGUCGUCAGCUCGUGCCGUGAGGUGUCGGCUUAAGUGCCAUAACGAGCGCAACCCUUACGGGUAGUUACCAUCAGGUUAUGCUGGGGACUCUACCCGGACUGCCGUCGUAAGAUGUGAGGAAGGUGGGGAUGACGUCAAAUCAGCACGGCCCUUACGUCCGGGGCUACACACGUGUUACAAUGGGGGGUACAGAAGGCAGCUACACGGCGACGUGGUGCUAAUCCCAAAAGCCUCUCUCAGUUCGGAUUGGAGUCUGCAACCCGACUCCAUGAAGCUGGAUUCGCUAGUAAUCGCGCAUCAGCCACGGCGCGGUGAAUACGUUCCCGGGCCUUGUACACACCGCCCGUCAAGCCAUGAAAGCCGGGGGUACCUGAAGUACGUAACCGCGAGGAGCGUCCUAGGGUA
rnacentral:rRNA from 1 species